rnacentral:tRNA from 1 species
GUCUUUAUAGCUUAGUGGUUAAAGCAUCUCACUGUUAAUGAGAACAGAUAGCGUCGAUUCCUAUUAAGGACU